rnacentral:piRNA from 1 species
UCCACAAUCAUAUAAAUGAUUUUGUCUAUAG